rnacentral:rRNA from 1 species
CCUACGGGAGGCAGCAGUGGGGGAUAUUGCACAAUGGGGGAAACCCUGAUGCAGCGACGCAGCGUGAGUGAAGAAGUAUUUCGGUAUGUAAAGCUCUAUCAGCAGGGAAGAAAAUGACAGUACCUGACCAAGAAGCCCCGGCUAAAUACGUGCCAGCAGCCGCGGUAAUACGUAGGGGGCAAGCGUUAUCCGGAUUUAAGGGGUGUAAAGGGAGCGUAGACGGUUUUGUAAGUCUGGAGGGAAAGCCCGGGGCCCAACCCCGGGACUGCUUUGGAUACUGGGCAACUGGAGUACAGGAGAGGCAGGCGGAAUUCCUGGUGUAGCGGUGAAAUGCGUAGAUAUCAGGAAGAACAC